rnacentral:rRNA from 1 species
GAUGAACGCUAGCGGCAGGCUUAAUACAUGCAAGUCGAGGGGUAUAUGUUUUAGUUUUCGGACGAAGAUAUAGAGACCGGCGCACGGGUGCGUAACGCGUAUGCAACCUACCUAUUACACAAGGAUAGCUCGAAGAAAUUCGAAUUAAUACUUGAUAGUAUAUCAAGAUGGCAUCAUUUAGAUAUUAAAGAUUUAUCGGUAAUAGAUGGGCAUGCGUGUCAUUAGCUAGUUGGUGAUUUAACAGCUCACCAAGGCAACGAUGACUAGCGGGUCUGAGAGGAUGAUCCGCCACACUGGUACUGAGAUACGGACCAGACUCCUACGGGAGGCAGCAGUAGGGAAUAUUGGUCAAUGGAGGCAACUCUGAACCAGCCAUGCCGCGUGAAGGAAGACAGCUUUCAUAGUUGUAAACUUCUUUUAUCAUGGAACAAAAUUAUCUAUGCGUAGGUAUUUGAGUGUACAUGAAGAAUAAGC